UACCAUCUCUUGCCAUCUCCAAGCAUUUGAUCCAAAGCAUCAACUUUUUCCUUGUCCAUGUGGACUAUAUAUGUCAUUGAUUUCGUUGCCUCUAACUCGAGGAUCAUUGAUAAUAUCGCCAUGGUAAUCAGCAACAAAGAAGAUUUCUUUUUCAGCGUAAACAUUUUUGUUUACUCCUGGUUUACUGCAGCAAGAUAAGGAAGAAAAAUUACUCUGUAAUUAAUAUAUGUUAUAUACAAUUUAUAAGUGACAAGAUCUAAGGCUCGGAAAACUUUAAAGCCGGAUAUAUGGAAUCCAGCGGAGACCGUCUGGACUUCAACCAGCUUUAGUAGAAUCAACUCCUAAAGUUUGCACCAAAGAAAACAGAAAACAAUCAGGAAAACUAUUAUCGGAAGUUGGAGCAAUGUGCAGAAGCUCCGUUCUCCAUGCUUUGCUCCUGCAUUCCCCCUGGGUCUGACCGUUCAUGUUUUCGUGUCUGAUUGAUCUUUGGUGCUGGUUUUUUCCUCUCUGUACCACAUGGAUUGUUUGUCCAUGUUCUAUGCUUGUACUUGUAACUGAUCCAAUCAAAUAAUUAGUAUUUAUGAGAAUUCAAUGAAGUAUUUUGUUUUCUUUUUAA